UGGGUACGGAGCGUGCCGAGGAAAGACAGAUAUUUUUUCUAAGAUUAAUCACAUCUAUUUAAUUAAAAAAAAAGAGAUACAACUCUACUAGUGCAAAAUUAAUUCAAAACUCCCGAGCUCUUUAUUUUCUAAUUAUAUCAAUUUUAAGAUAAUUUAUUUUCUAAAUCAAAACAACGCUUCUUUCUUUUAUUUUGUAAUCUCAACUUAGCCCA
rnacentral:lncRNA from 1 species